AUUGAACGCUGGCGGCAUGCCUUACACAUGCAAGUCGAACGGCAGCACGGGUGCUUGCACCUGGUGGCGAGUGGCGAACGGGUGAGUAAUAUAUCGGAACGUACCUUAUCGUGGGGGAUAACGCAGCGAAAGCUGCGCUAAUACCGCAUAUUCUGUGAGCAGGAAAGCAGGGGAUCGCAAGACCUUGCGCUGAUUGAGCGGCCGAUAUCAGAUUAGCUAGUUGGUGAGGUAAAGGCUCACCAAGGCGACGAUCUGUAGCGGGUCUGAGAGGAUGAUCCGCCACACUGGGACUGAGACACGGCCCAGACUCCUACGGGAGGCAGCAGUGGGGAAUUUUGGACAAUGGGCGCAAGCCUGAUCCAGCAAUGCCGCGUGCAGGAAGAAGGCCUUCGGGUUGUAAACUGCUUUGUACGGAACGAAAAGGACUCUGGUUAAUACCUGGGGCUCAUGACGGUACCGUAAGAAUAAGCA
rnacentral:rRNA from 1 species